GCAAUCGUGGCCGAGUGGUUAAGGCGAUGGACUCCAAAUACAUUGGGGUGUCCCCGCGCAGGUUCGAACACUGCCGGCUGCG